rnacentral:rRNA from 1 species
GGGGAAACCCAGUGCAAUCCGUUGCACUAUCGUUAACUGAAUACAUAGGUUAACGAGGCGAACCGGGGGAACUGAAACAUCUAAGUACCCCGAGGAAAAGAAAUCAACCGAGAUUCCCCCAGUAGCGGCGAGCGAACGGGGAGCAGCCCGGAGUCUGAAUCAGCUUGUGUGUUAGUGGAACGGUCUGGAAAGUCCGACGGUACAGGGUGAUAGUCCCGUACACGAAAAUGCACAUGCUGUGAACUCGAAGAGUAGGGCGGGACACGUGGUAUCCUGUCUGAAUAUGGGGGGACCAUCCUCCAAGGCUAAAUACUCCUGACUGACCGAUAGUGAACCAGUACCGUGAGGGAAAGGCGAAAAGAACCCCGGCGAGGGGAGUGAAAAAGAACCUGAAACCGUGUACGU